CUCCACGCUCUGACGUCAGCACGCCGCCGACGCCCCGGCCCCGCCCCCGCCCUACGGCCGAGCCCCGCCCAGGAACGGACCCGAGCGGCCGGGCGCGGGCGGAGGUGGGGGACUUGGAGAGAAAGUGUCGCCUAGAGUAACUUCGAGCUUCGUUUUGUCGUUUGCAUGAGUCCUUACUCGCGAUUAGGUGCUCAGUAAACAAUUGAAGGAGAAAAAGAAGAAAACACGGAAGGAGUGAAGAGAGAAACCUCAAGGACAUAGAGACAAGAAGCAAACAGCGCUUCCUUGGGUCUGGAGUCUCUCUGAUCUAUUCUGCCUUUACCCUGCUGAGGACAGAUCACCUUGAGCAAAGUGCAGCAGGACUGGUUCGAUAACUCGAGUCUUUAAAAGGAAGUUCUGAAGACCAAUUGUUGAAGAUGGUCAUACCACAAGGUGCGUGAAGCCUGGAUACAUAAAUGACUGUGUGGAUCAGGGCUCCCUGUCUACCAUAUUGGACUACAAGAACUGAACAGCUCAGGCUCGUCUGCUCUCAGGCCCGAAGACACGCCGCCCCUGGUGAAGGCUGAUAAACGUGUUGAGUGAGCGAACGUUGAAUCACAGCGACUGUUCCUGUACCGUUACGUAAGUGAAGCCCCUAUUCAGUGCGUUUCAGAAUACGCGUAGUGAGGAUUAGGUUUGUUUAAGUUCCCAUCUUCUGCAGAGCAGUACUUUCGUACGUUACAAUAAAAAAUGAAUUACUAGAGGGGCGCCUGGGUGGCUCAGUCGGUUAAGCGUCCGACUUCAGCUCAGGUCACCAUCUCGCGGUCCGUGAGUUCGAGCCCCGCGUCGGGCUCUGGGCUGAUGGCUCGGAGCCUGGAGCCUGCUUCCGAUUCUGUGUCUCCCUCUCUCUCUGUCCCUCCCCCCUUCAUGCUCUGUCUCUCUCUGUCUCAAAAAUAAAUAAACAUUAA